rnacentral:rRNA from 1 species
GAUGAACGCUGGCGGCGUGCCUAAUACAUGCAAGUCGAGCGAACAGACGAGGAGCUUGCUCCUCUGACGUUAGCGGCGGACGGGUGAGUAACACGUGGAUAACCUACCUAUAAGACUGGGAUAACUUCGGGAAACCGGUGCUAAUACCGGAUAAUAUAUUGAACCGCAUGGUUCAAUAGUGAAAGACGGUUUUGCUGUCACUUAUAGAUGGAUCCGCGCCGCAUUAGCUAGUUGGUAAGGUAACGGCUUACCAAGGCAACGAUGCGUAGCCGACCUGAGAGGGUGAUCGGCCACACUGGAACUGAGACACGGUCCAGACUCCUACGGGAGGCAGCAGUAGGGAAUCUUCCGCAAUGGGCGAAAGCCUGACGGAGCAACGCCGCGUGAGUGAUGAAGGUCUUCGGAUCGUAAAACUCUGUUAUUAGGGAAGAACAAAUGUGUAAGUAACUAUGCACGUCUUGACGGUACCUAAUCAGAAAGCCACGGCUAACUACGUG